AGAGUUUGAUCCUGGCUCAGGAUGAACGCUGGCGGCGUGCCUAAUACAUGCAAGUCGAGCGAACGGACGAGAAGCUUGCUUCUCUGAUGUUAGCGGCGGACGGGUGAGUAACACGUGGAUAACCUACCUAUAAGACUGGGAUAACUUCGGGAAACCGGAGCUAAUACCGGAUAAUAUUUUGAACCGCAUGGUUCAAAAGUGAAAGACGGUCUUGCUGUCACUUAUAGAUGGAUCCGCGCUGCAUUAGCUAGUUGGUAAGGUAACGGCUUACCAAGGCAACGAUGCAUAGCCGACCUGAGAGGGUGAUCGGCCACACUGGAACUGAGACACGGUCCAGACUCCUACGGGAGGCAGCAGUAGGGAAUCUUCCGCAAUGGGCGAAAGCCUGACGGAGCAACGCCGCGUGAGUGAUGAAGGUCUUCGGAUCGUAAAACUCUGUUAUUAGGGAAGAACAUAUGUGUAAGUAACUGUGCACAUCUUGACGGUACCUAAUCAGAAAGCCACGGCUAACUACGUGCCAGCAGCCGCGGUAAUACGUAGGUGGCAAGCGUUAUCCGGAAUUAUUGGGCGUAAAGCGCGCGUAGGCGGUUUUUUAAGUCUGAUGUGAAAGCCCACGGCUCAACCGUGGAGGGUCAUUGGAAACUGGAAAACUUGAGUGCAGAAGAGGAAAGUGGAAUUCCAUGUGUAGCGGUGAAAUGCGCAGAGAUAUGGAGGAACACCAGUGGCGAAGGCGACUUUCUGGUCUGUAACUGACGCUGAUGUGCGAAAGCGUGGGGAUCAAACAGGAUUAGAUACCCUGGUAGUCCACGCCGUAAACGAUGAGUGCUAAGUGUUAGGGGGUUUCCGCCCC
rnacentral:rRNA from 1 species